GCGAAAACUUUACAAUGCUGGCAACAGCGAUAAGGGAACCUCGAGUGCCAGGUUACAAAUCUGGCUGUCGAGAUGCCUAAAAAGCAUUUCAUAGCAAGGGCCGGGCAAGACCGGUGCCAGCCGCCGCGGUAACACCGGCGGCUCGAGUGGUAACCGUUAUUAUUGGGUCUAAAGGGUCUGUAGCCGGCCGGAUAAGUCUCUUGAGAAAUCUGGCAGCUCAACGGUCAGGCUUUCAGGAGAUACUGUCUGGCUCGAGGCCGGGAGAGGUGAGAGGUACUUCAGGGGUAGGGGUGAAAUCUUGUAAUCCUUGAAGGACCACCAGUGGCGAAGGCGUCUCACCAGAACGGACCUGACGGCAAGGGACGAAAGCUAGGGGCACGAACC
rnacentral:rRNA from 1 species